GAGGCUAUGUCCUAUCAGCUAGUUGGUGAGGUAAUGGCUCACCAAGGCUAUGACGGGUAGCUGGUUUGAGAGGAUGAUCAGCCACACUGGUACUGAGACACGGUCCAGAAUCCUACGGGAGGCAGCAGUGGGGAAUAUUGGGCAAUGGAGGCAACUCUGACCCAGCAACGCCGCGUGGAGGAUGAAGCAUUUCGGUGUGUAAACUCCUUUUAUACAAGAAGUGACGGUAUUGUAUGAAUAAGCACCGGCUAACUCCGUGCCAGCAGCCGCGGUAAUACGGAGGGUGCAAGCGUUACUCGGAAUCACUGGGCGUAAAGGGUGUGUAGGCGGAUUAGUAAGUCUUGUGUGAAAUCCUACGGCUUAACCGUAGAACUGCAUGAGAAACUGUUAAUCUAGAGUGUGAAAGAGGCAGGUGGAAUUAGUGGUGUAGGGGUAAAAUCCGUAGAU
rnacentral:rRNA from 1 species